rnacentral:rRNA from 1 species
GACGAACGCUGGCGGCGUGCUUAACACAUGCAAGUCGAACGGAAAGGCCUGCUUUCCCUCGUGGAUUGCGGGUACUCGAGUGGCGAACGGGUGAGUAACACGUGAGUGAUCUGCCCCCAACUUGGGUAUAAGCCUGGGAUACUGGGUCUAAUUCCCGAUAGGACUGCAGGGUGGUUCCUGUGGUGGAAAACGAUUUUCUAGUGGUUGGGGAUGAGCUCGCGGCCUAUGAGCUUGUUGGUGGGGUAAUGGCCUACCAAUGCGGCGACGGGUAGCCGGCCUGAGAUGGUGGACGCGCGCAUUGGGACUGGGUUACGGCCCAGACUCGUACGGGAGGCAGGAGUUGGGAGUAUUGCACAAUGGGCGGAAGCCUGAUGCGGCGACGCCGCGUGGGGGAUGACGGCCUUCGGGUUGUAAACUACUUUCGAGCGCGAGGAAGCCACCUGGUUGGAAGGGUGGUGACGGUAGUGGUAGAAGAAGCACCGGCUAACUACGUG